AGCGAACGCUGACGGCGUGCCUAACACAUGCAAGUCGAACGUGAAAGGGAGCAAUCCCAAGUAAAGUGGCGUACGGGUGAGUAACACGUAGGUAAUCUACCCCAGAAUCUGGAAUAACCGGCCGAAAGGCUGGCUAAUACUGGAUAGAGCGACGGAAUCCGUAAUUGGGUUUUUCGGGAAAGGGAGCCUGUAAAAAGGCCUUCGUUCUGGGAUGAGCCUGCGUCCCAUCAGCUAGUUGGUGAGGUAAAAGCUUACCAAGGCAAUGACGGGUAGCUGGUCUGAGAGGACGAUCAGCCAAACUGGAACGGAAACACGGUCCAGACUCCUACGGGAGGCAGCAGUGGGGAAUCUUGCGCAAUGGACGAAAGUCUGACGCAGCAACGCCGCGUGAGGGAAGAAGGCCUUCGGGUUGUAAAGCUCUGUCGAGUGGGACGAAAAUGCUUGGAGUUCACAGCUCCAGGAACUGACGGUACCACUAAAGGAAGCACCGGCUAACUCCGUG
rnacentral:rRNA from 1 species